rnacentral:lncRNA from 1 species
GCACUUUCGUGAAAGAAGUCACCUUGUACAAAUGAGUACUUGGGGUUGUGUGCUUUCAUCUAGCUGUUUUAUUACUUCCAGGAGGUAUGUAAUCCAUUUGUUGAUAAGAUCAGUUUGAUAACCUCUUUACUAUCAAGGAAACAAAGAACAGAAAAGCUUUAUAAUAAGAAUCCAUAUAUUAAAACAAAGCUUGUAUAUUUCCUUUAAUAUUAUUAUUUUAACAUAUUGCUUUUUUAUUUUUGUUUUCAUAUUUUGCCUGUAUGUUGUCUUUUUUGGCAUGUUUCAGGCUAUUACUUUGUAAGUGUUGGAAAAUGUACAUUUCUUUCCAAGCCAGUUUUGUCACUGGAGGCAACUUUGGGGUUAAACCGUUCAUCAGUUAGAUGAUGUUGUUUUGGUGCCUUCAGUGUCCCUUUAAGAGAACAUUCGUAGCUCUGCAAUAAUAUAUGCGCUUUGCAUAGGUUAUGGUGUUGGGAGGUCCCAUCUCCCUGUCUCUCUGCAUUUGCUGUAACUAUAACUUUAACGCCACCUUCUUAGUGAGAGAUAUCCUUAGAGCAGGGGUAGACAGUCGCUGGCACUCCAGAUGUUGUGGACUACAACUCACCUGAUGUCUUGCCAGCAUUGUAGAUAUAAAGAACAACAUGGAAGAUGUAGUCCAAAACAUCUGGAGUGCUGAAGGAAUCUUCCCCACAUACUGUGUCAGGAACCAUCAUAGCUCAUUGUGAAGGAAUGUCAGCCGUAGUCUAAUGCAUGCACAGACACACUAUCACAUCUAAAAGCUGGCAAACUGUGAGUGGAGCUUACAUCAAGCCGAUAUUAGACAGUGCAGCUGCUGUCAGCUUAGGCAGAAAUGUUGUUUAUCCUUUGCAAUUAAAGAAAUACUAUAGUGUUAGGUAUAAAAAUCUUUAUUACUAACACUAUAAAACUACAAGGCUUUACAUUUCAGGACUAAGGGCAAUAGGGGCACUGUACUCAGACCACUUCAGUGAGCUGAAGUGGUCUUGGUGUCUAUAGUGUACCUUUAAAUAAAUGUGACAGAAAUGCUUGCUGCUAACGUUUUUAUGGGGCAUUAUUAGUUCACUUAAAAAUAUAAUAACUCCGAAAGAGAUGGAGUCAAAUGUAUUGAAGCACUCUUCCAUGGACAAUAUGCCUUGAGUACAGUUCGCACCGUAUGUGUGAGCUUGGUGAUGCUCUCAUGAAAUGCUUGUUACCAACAUUUCUCUGGUGGCCAUUUUUUAGGGUCAAUAACCAAAGGAGUGGGACCCAAAUUCAGGAAUAUCCAGUAAGAGGUGUGGAACAGAACACAAAUUUCAGGGAUAUUCAUAUAUUCACCCACAAUUCUGGAUAUAAUUUUCAAAAAUACAUAUUUUAUCAAAUGUCAGAUCUAGAAAAGUAUAUAACCCUGCAUGUUUUUGCUGUUGAUGGGUGGAAGAAAGUUCAGUAUAAUGCAAAGGACUUUGGAAAGUACUUCUGCUGAGGCAUCGUUUUAUGGGGUGUAAUAAAAGUAAUGAUGUCCUUACUCCUCUGGCCAUUAUAAUGCUGUCCAUAGUAUGGAUCACACAUUUCCUGUGUUUUAAAGAGCUACUCUUACGUGCAGUGGUGUUUAAUAUGAAAUGCUCUGACCAAUAUGUAGGGAUCUGUUCAAAGUUUGCAGUAUUCUUUGAAAUAAAGUCUCUUACACAUUUAACUUUUUGAGUUAAUAUUUAAGUAAUACAUCAAGCACCAUAACCACUACAGACUACAAUGUGCUGUAGUGGUUAUCGGGAUAUACCAUUUAAGUAGUCAAACUGGUAACAUUUGGCUUCUUACCUGAGGUAAAAACUAAUCUCCCUCAGCCAAUGAGCUAAGCCCUGCACUGCUGGGUUUAGCUCAAACCUGAGAACCUACAGCGAAGAGGAGGCAGGUAGUGGCACCCCAGGGUACUCCAUCUCACCAUAGUGUUUAUGGCCCGUAAAAAUGAACUAAAAAAACUGUAUCGUUCUAUUAGAAAGUUAUGGGAAAAUGGAUGGAUGGGCUUUUGGUACAGACGUGUAGCUUUGCCAGUAUGUCCACGACCUGAGGACACUGUUUCUCUUUUGACAGGGAUAAACAUUAAUGGCAAUAGCUCUGCAAGCUAUUCUGCAGUUCAAAGAUUAUAAAGGAAUAUAUCAAUUUGACUCUUACCAGUGUGUGUAUAUUCAAAUCAAUGGGGAUCCAUCAGAGGUGCACAGAGAUCCAAUUUGGGUCCCAUGCAGAGAUUAAUAGGAACCAUCACUUCUCUUGAAAUUGCGCCAUUGAGUAAAAGAGUCAGGUUUUUGUGAUGCUAUGUUUUCUUUCUAGACUAUAUUAAAGAUUUACCAACUGACAUAAUCCAGAUCACACUGGCACAGCCAGGGCACACAUGGCAUUGGAGUCAUAAAAACAAUCUUAUUUUGUUUCUGUUUCUUCACAUACUCUGUUGAAUGACAGAAAAAGGCAGAAUUUACAUGGCUGGCUGAAAAGGUUAGCGUAGAGGCACGCGGAUAGCACUAAAUAAAGCAGUAGAAAUGUCUAUAUUACAUUUUAUUUUACCUCUUAUACAUAGUUGUACAAUAUAUGAGAGAAGUGAACGUAGUAUUAAAAAUCUAAAGAAGUGACCAGUUCCCAUUUAAUAAUCAGUGCAUACUUCUGUUAAUUUUAUUUUGUUCAUUACAACAUUGAUACAUAGAAACAUAGAAUGUGACUGCAUAUAAGAACCAUUCGGCCAAUCUAGUCUUGUUUUGUGUGUCUUUUCUAGAUUUCUGUGUUAUUUAUAUAAGUACUAAAUAAUUUGUGGUGAGAUCAAAUGUGAUAAAACUCCCCACUGCUUAGCACAAAUUCAAAAUUUACUAUAUAAAUCAUCUGUAUAUCUCAAGUAGGACCUGGGGAAAAGUCUGCCUUGGGCACUGUAAUUUCAAGAUGUUAUGUUACUGCAAUUCUUCCCAGAUUGACAUGCAAAGGAGUAUUGAUAUGCAUCAUAUUUCAGACAUCAUUCUGCAUUUCUGCAGGCAUUCUUGGGAAAUAAGAACUGUUUGUGGGUUUUGAUCCAAAUGGACCAGUUUCCUGGAAUUACCUUUCCCAAAGGAGAACUCAGAUAUGUAGACGAUGCACAACCAUAAAUUCUGAUUUUGCCUAAAUCCUUGUGGAGUUUUAUUGUUUGGUCUCACCACAACAUAGUUGAUACUUAGCUAUAUGCUGACCGAAAGACUUCGAAUCCCUGACCAAACCCAGCACCACCCUGACAACACCCAUGGUUGGUUUCUGUCAUUGACCAUUUUGGAUCACAGCCCAUGCUAUGGUAUAAAUAGUUGCAUUUGAAUCAAUACCUAAUUGUUAAGGGUGUCUACAGAAAUGCAGGGUGUCUGAAAACACAAUGCCUGUCUUUGUUGAUCAAAACCCACAAGCAUUUCUUAUUUCCCAAGAAUGCCUGGAGAAAUGCAGGAUGAUGUCUGAAAUAUGAUGCUUAUCAAUGCUCCCUUGCAUGUCCAUAAAUAUGUGUUUAUGUGAUCCAUAAGGAAAUUGAUUAUAAUAAAAGUAUUAUAAUAAAAGUUGACAAUGGUUGUGCUGGUGGUUAAGCCUGUAAGAAAGAGAGCAAAAAUGAUAAAUGCUAAAUGUUUCUAUAUUUACAUAUAUGAACAAUGGUCUUAAAAGCAUGCCUAAUUUCUAGCUCUGGCUGAGGUAUGUACCUACAGUAGGCAGAGGACUUCCAACAGCCCAUCUUCUUUAGGAUUCUGCAAACCAUAUCUUCUGGAAGACUGGCUUCCAUUGUAUUGUAAUCUAGAUGAAUACCUAGAAAAGUAAUAUUGUUACAGGGACCCUGUUUUCUCUUCCGAAAUGGAGAACACGGUUCAUUAAACAGAUUAACCAUAUCAUUUAAACUGACAGGAGUGGUAUUAUGUUUCUCAACUGUUAAGUUGUCUAAGUAGUAAAUGACUAUUGGGCAUCUGCAGUUAUUAGGAAGGAGCCAGCACAGUGUUUCGGCAAAAAUGUCAGAGAUUUGGACUGCUUUUUGCCACAAAUGUAAACCUGGUAGCAAAAAUAUACUGAUUCUUCCACUUAACCACAUGCAGAUGCCUCAGGGAAGGGUGCAUGUGUAUCGUAGUAGUAUGUGUAUGUAUGUAUUUGGUAGUAGUUUAAAAGAGCUGGGUAUGUUGGUUUUACUUAACCAGGCGCUGUGACCUGUGCCAUAGAUGGCUUUAAUUGUGUCAUCCACUUUUGUGUAUUGUAAUGAGAAGUCCUCUGAAAGUAUGAGGGAAUUUAAACUAGGUGUAGUGGAAGAGUGAGGAGCUGAUAAAUCGAUUAUUAGUCUCUCUUUUUUUUAAUUGAAUUUACUAGUGGUAACGCCAAGAUGGCUAGUCCUCCAAUUGGAAAAAGAUGGUUCUUGAAAUGGGCAUAUCAUAAAACCUUUCUCUAGUUUCUUGUUUAGAAGCAGGUUAACUAAUUGGCACUUGUUGGUAGCAGACUGGAGAUUGGCACACUCAAUAGUACUUGUAGCGAGGAAUACUAAACCUGUGUGGAACCCAAAUGAAAACCCUGAAAUCAAAAAUUCCACCAAAUGAGGCAAAGGAUGGUUUGCCAAGCAAAGACUCAGCCUGUAAAUAUUCACUGAAGAUAGUUACUGUUUUGGGAACAAACAAUUAGGACACAUGGUUUUUGCAUGGACCCUGAAACACAAGGACCCACAUCCCCCUGCAUUGAAGUUGUUGAACACUUGUGCUUUUCCUAGGAAGACAAAGGGUCUUUAUCCUUCAACUCUUCUUGGACAGGUCUAAAUGUUGGAGCUGUCGGAGCCUGACUAGUAGAGGGGAGGCUGGCUUUAUUGAGGUAAAGAUUAGUGGAAUGGGUAGUGGAAAUACAUAUUGCACACACUGGUUCCUUGAGCCCCGCAAAAUGCAGCAAAAAAUUCAGUAUCAAGUUGAUCCCUAUUGGUUUUAAUGUUUAACUGGGACAUCGCAGCUGGUGCUCUAGCUGAAAAAAAAUGUAUGGUAGUCCUAAAAAAGGAAUAUUUGUGCCAUAGGUCUACCAGAUUGUGCAUAUAUAAAUACAAUUCUUCCCUGCAGUGGGCAUAAUCAGAGCAAAUCACAUCUCCUAAAAGACCAAAGAGCAAAACAAAUUCUAGGAUAGCAACAUUUUUGUUGAGCCUAAGGUUCCUUGCUUUCAUCACUACUGAGAGAUGCACAGACGUAUAUGACUUAUUGCCAAUUACGUCUUGUGAUUCUAUGAGAGACACUAAAUGAACAUCUUUCCCUUCUAAGAUGUCUAUCUGUAUGGCUAGUGGGACUAGGUGAGUGAGAGUGACAAGAUGACUUAUGUUUGGUUAGUUGCAGAUGAUGUAUAACCCUGGUAAUUAUUGCCUGAAGGGGGAGCAGAUGGUAGAUAAACUGGAGCUGAUAAUAGGUCUGCUAGGUUGGCGGACUCCAAAGUCUCAAGUCUAUUGUUUAUUGUGUUUAUGGAUACUGCUACUGAAGAAAUCAUGGCAUGUAGCUCUGUCAGUUCUGUUGGACAGUUCAUUCCUCACUGGACUCUGGCCUUGACCAGAUCUCAUCAGAUCUCAACCCUUGUUGGGAUCUCAUCAGCUGGAAUAAUUCAGCUUUUUUUGCCAUGGCUGUGUAUGCAAAGUUUCUGUGUUUUAACUCUGCUUUAAUUCUACACAUCAGACAUGUAGUGAGUAGUGAUUACUCUGUCAUUCUAUAGAAAAUAGUGUGAACUGGUUGGCUAAUUAGUACCAAGUGACAAAAUGACAUUACUAGUAUGUGACAAGUGAGACCCUACUAGUUGCCAAGCAUCUAGAGAGGCUCUAUCUAUAAGUAUGAACCAAGGGGCGUUGAGGUCACAAAUGUCGUGGCGGGGUGUUGGCCUCUCAGUUAUAAUAAUCAGAUUUCAAGACAGAUUGAGUGUGAUUGUUGGGGCUCUGACUAUACUAAUUGGAAUAUCUAAAUGAAUACAUAUUAUAUCAUUUAAAGUAUAUCUAGGAAUUCUACUAGACCUGUAACCGCUGUAAUUUAAUGCAGAGUCAAUACAUACCUUACUGUAUUUAUGCAAAGAAUGGGAAGAUGCACCUAAUAUUGUAGGAUAAAUUUAAAGUUAACUAAAGUAUAGAAAAUUAUUGGGAGAGCAGAAAUAAUAAUAAAUUGGUUUGGAUUAAUUGAAUAGAAAUGAAAAAUAGAUACCAACCUACCGAUAAGACUUGAUAAGACAGAUAAUUGACAAAUAUAAGGUAGAAUGAAUUAUAAAGUUGUAUAGCCCUAAUAGGGCCGACAGAAUUGUAGACUAUAAUAAAUUUAACCAUAUCGACCAUUUGUGGCCUUAAUUAAAGGGACACUAUAGUCACCAGAACAACUACAGCUUAUUGAAUUUGUUCUGGUUUGUAGAAUCAUCACCUUCAGGCUUUUUGCUGUAAACACUGCCUUUUCAGAGAAAAUGCAGUGUUUACAUUACAGCCUAGUGAUAACUUCACUGGCCACUCCUCAGAUAGCUGUUAGAGAUCCUUCCUGGGUCCUAUGGGGAAGCAUUGUGAUUGGAUCAGGCUACCACUUCUGAUGAUGUCAGCCGACUGCUCGUUUUUCUGAGUCUAACAGCAUGCACAGUUACAGCUUCAGGCUUGAAUAUAGUAAGAUUUUUACUAUAUUUAUGGAGGCUUGAGGGGCCCCGGGGGGGCUAGAUGGUAGUUUUAACACUAUAGGGUCAGGAAUACAUGUUUGUGUUCCUGACCCUAUAGUGAUCCUUUAACUAGAAGGCAGACAUAAUAUGUGAUACUAACCACCAGCAAGGCAUAUUAAUUAGUGUGAACAUAAUCAGGCCAAAUGUUGUCCUGCAAAAUCUUAGAUUUAAAAGUAGCCUAAAAAAGAACUUAAGUUAUUUUGAAAUCACAUGUUUAACAGAGCGGCUAAACGAUUUUACAGAUUAGCUGAAAGAGGGCUCAAUGACUGCUACAGAGCUGUCGAACAAGGGCUAAUAUUAACAAUGUGGUCAAACAAGGGACGAAUGCUUAAUACCGAUUGGCCAAACGAGAGUCGAGUGCCUGCUGCAGAGCAGCUGAAUUAGGCUCAAAAUUUAGAGUGUUAAACACAGCUGGUCUCCGAUAGAGUUGCUAGCUGAAUGGGAUCAUUGGUCGAAAGAGUGUUCGUCCGAACGUGCGGAACGGGCUAGACGAAUGUGCUGGGCCUAACGUCGAGAACUUGGCAACACCAUCAGGCGACGGCAUUAUAGAAGGUGCUGAUUUUCUGAUUAGAACCUGAGGGUUGAGUUGAGGGUCCACUGCAAAAUCGGUUUUAAAUGAAGAGGUUGUGCAUAGUUGUCAGUUUCAGAUUGCUGCAGACAGAGCAGGCAUUUCACAGUGGAAUGAGGUUUAUUUGGUUUCUGGUAGGCUUAGUGUGAGCAGAGGAGGUGAAGUGCACUGGGUUGGGAGAGACAUCACCAACUGUUAGAAGAAGUAGGAGAAACAAUGACAGGAGAUGAGAGUGGGUUUUAUAUGGAUGAGUCUAGGAUGAGAUUGUUUGGCAGUAGUAGAGAAAGAGUGCAGGGCAUGAGAUGAGUGAAGGGGACAGUGUAGCAGAUAGGGGGAAGUAUGGAGGCUGAGGGAAGUAGGGAUAAGGAGUGAUCAUAGGGGUGGGGGAGGUAAAAUUUUAAUCAUAAGGGUGGGGGAGGUAAAAGAAGAGGAGGAGAUGAGAGACAAUUGCUCAGAUAAGUGGACUUGGAGAUGGGGAAGUAGGACAAGAGUAGUGAGGAGAGGAGAUGCAGUGGUGUGCAAUGUUUGAGGAAAUAAAGGAUAUAGAAUUAAUUUGGAUAUAUGCAAACAAAUUCAUAUUUACACACACAGACCCGUACACAAACAUACUAUUUUUUUUUUUUUUUUAAAUGAGGUCCACCCUGCCUCCUUUUUUUUACCUUGAGAAGAGCUGGAGUGGAACAUCAUCCCUGAAGUCCUGGGAAUGUCUUCAGUGACUGCCCACCUCCCAGCAGCUUGGUACUGAUGCAGGGCUGGAGGUGGCAUCACGGCUCCAGCAUCAGUGCAUGAGGGAGCUUGCUAUUCAGUGCAGGUAGAUCCCAAUAGCUCCCUCAUGGCACCACACUAAAUUCCCAUUCAACAGCUGAUACAUGCCACGGUACCCCCCCUGCUUUAGGGGGAGGGAGGAGGUACUCUGUUUUUCCCAGCAAACAAAUGUGACUCCAAGUACCAGUUUAUAAUUCAAAAUGGAUACCAGUUUAUUUCUUCAAAAAAUGUAAGCAAAUUUGCACAGUAACAUUUUUUUUUUUUUAUAGCGCCUCAAAAGGAGUCACCAACUACUGCGUAUCUACGACACUCUCCUAAUCCAUUGCAAAAGUAAAUCAGGUCCUAUGACAGUUAAGAGAGAAAAAAGCAAUUUAUACUGACGGAUCUCUGCUUGCUUUAAUUGGGGCAUAAUUUCUAGUGACAUCAGACGGAUGGCUUUUGAUUACUGAAGCUCAAGAGGGACAAAUUUCAUUAUCAGUGAACAAUAGGCCUCUGUUUUGGAGAAACAGUGAUACAAUAGAGUCUCUGCAAUCUCCUCAACAGAAAUAGAUAAUGUUUCAAAUGUGUCCAAGAUUUAGUAUUAUAUACAGGUUCAGAGUGACUGAGGCUUCUAAUAAAUUAUCCGUUAUUCUAAUUAGUUUACAGUAAAAAAAACAAUUUUGGACAAAUCUCCAUGUUUUAAAAUGGAAAAGAGGAAUAAUUUAAAGUCGGAAUCUCUUGCAGUUUAAACUUUAAGAGAUUCAGUUAAAAAAGAGUGAGUCACGGGCAGUUGAAAAUGUAGAUACUUGAUUUAGGUACUCGAGUAUUAGCUAUAUAAUGCAGUUUGUUCUAUAUGAAUUGUUUCUGCUUCAGACAAAUUUAACAUGGAUUCCUUUAUUUAUUGGUUGCUCAGCAUGUCCAAAGUUGCACAGUGGCAUACACAAAGUUGCAUAGUGAAGUAGACAUAGUUGCCACAAUCUCUGACAAGAUUAUAAAUUACCCUUACUUAUUAAAAAAAUGAAUUGAUAUACUCAGCGAACUAAUAAUAGCAACACUAGUAGUUUAUUAGCUUAUUAAACUCUCACCACUGCAUUUUGUUUUAUCUUGAACACAGCAGUCGGGUGUAUAAUAGACAAAUACCCCUGUGCAGCUACCUUUAAUUGUUAUUUACAGCAAUUUCACUAAAUUAUUAUGAAUGAAACUGUUGGCAAGUGCAGAACUUCAUUUUUCAUAAACUGAUGCACACUAAGGGUUUACAGGAUAUUGAUAUGAGAGCUAACUACCAAAGCUAAAAAAAACAAAGAGCAUUUUAAUGCAUUAUGUGUAAAAUACAUAGUUCAUAUUAUAUUAGGAACACAAUUUAAUCCAUAAUAUAGAUAUAUUAUGAAAUAUAUAUAUAUAUAUAUAUAUAUAUAAAUAUAUAUAUAUAUAUAUAUAUAUAUAUAGUGUAGAUUGGAUUAGCCGUGUAAGUCCAAUAGACAAGAUGCCAAAAUACCAGAGUAUUGCAGUAUGCAAUUAUACCUUUUUUAUUGGACUAACAUAAUAUUUCAAAGACAAGCUUUCAAAGACAGACUGAUCAGUAUUGCUUCAGACCUGAGGAAGAGAGGAAAACUAUUGAAAGAUGGUAUGGGACACAGGGAGAGGAGGGGGGAAAAAUAAAGGGUAUGGUACACCUGGAGGGGAGGGGGGAGAAAUGGGGUGUAUGGUACACCUGGAGGGGAGGGGGGAGAAAUGGAGGGUAUGGGACACCUGGAGGGGAGAGGGAAGAGGGGAAUGAGGGAGAAAUGGUACACAGGGAGGGGAGGGGGGAGAGAGGUAACAAUGGGACACAGGGAGGGGAGAGGGAGAGAAAGAACAAUGUCUCAGGGGGAGGGGAAGAGAAAGAACAAUUGGACACAGGGAGGGGAUGGGGAAGAGAGGGAACAAUGGGACACAAGGAGGCAAAGAGGUAGGGCAUGGGACACACAGAGGGGAGGGAGGAAAAUGGAGGGUAUGGGACACAGCGAUGGGAGGGGGAGUGAUGGAGGGUAUGGGACACAGGGAGAGAAGGGGGAGAGAGGGAGGAAUGGGACACAGGGACAGGAGGGUGGAGAGAUGGAACAAUGGGACACAUGAAGGGGAGAGAGGGAGGGUAUGGGACACAGGGAGGGGAGGGGAGAGAUGGGGGGUAUGGGACACAGGGAGGGGAGGGGGUAGAGAGGAAGAAAUGGGACACCGGAAGGGGAGGGUGAGAGAAGGAACAAUGGGACGCAUGGAGGGGAGGGGGAGAGAGGGAGGGCAUGGGACACAUAGAGAGAAGGGGGGAGAGAUGGAAGGUAUGGGACACAGGGAGAGAUGAAGGAGAAAUGGGACACAUGGAGGGGCUGGGGGCAUGGGCGUCCGCAGGAAUUUUUCCAGGGGGGGGGGGCAUAAUUGUAAUGACAUCCAUGCUUGGUACCUUUUUGACAGUGUCAUGAAAGGGAAGGGGCAUAGCCAUUAUCACAUAAAGCCAGGGUGAAUAGCGUUUUCACAACUAUGGUGUCAGGAAUAUAUGUUUGUAUUACUGACACUAUAGUGUUCCUUUAAGCAAAUUAAAGGACAUUUCUGGUCACCAUAACAACUUCACCUAAAUGAGAAUGCUAUGAUGCCAGGAAGCCCCUGUGUGCUCGCUUUCCUUUAAGGGGUUAAAUCGCUCUCAAAUGGUUUAACCCCAAAGGCUUCCUCCAGCUCCAGGUCGCUCAGUGGUAUUUGGCUUCUGAAACAGAGUGUCAGGAAGUGCAGAUUGACGUCAGGCAUGGGUGCCGCUGACUGGCUAGAGUGGUCAGUUGACGCUCUAAGCCAAUCGCUAGUUCCCGGUUCAUAAAAUAUUUUUACUUUUUUAUGAAUGGGGAGCUACUGAUUGGCUUAGAGUGCCAGCUGACCGCUCUAGCCAAUCAGCAACACCCCUACCCAACGGCACUCUGUGCUUCCUGACACUCAGUAAAUAAAAGUGAACACAUUAACACCAAUAUUUUUUUACCUUUGGAGAUGAGAAGGUCCAGCGUUUCCCUGCCAGGCCCAGGUACCAAAGCCUUAUGAUGUGGUGUCCAGAAUAAAGUGGAGGGUUCACUUCAUUUGUCCUUCCUGCUCCAAUCUCCUUUUCCUCUCCUUCAUUUGACAGUCUUUUUUUUUCUUCUGACACUGUUUUCUAUCCUUGGCCCCUUCUGCUCUUUUACCUUUCUGCUCCUUUCUGCUUAUUUUGCGCCCUUCUGCUCCUUUCUCAUUCUGAUCCCUUUCUGCCUCCUUUUCUACUUUACCUUUGUGCUCCUUGCUGUCCCUCUCUGCUCUUUCUCCUACUUUACCUUUGUGCUCCUUCUGAUUAUUUCUGCUCCUUUACCUUUGUGCUCCUUGCUGUCCCUUUGUGCUCCUUGCUGUCUCUUUCUGCUCCUUGCUGUCCCUUUCUGCUCCUUGCAGGCCCUUCCUGCUCAUUCUCCUACUUUAUGUUUGUGCUCCUUCUGCCCCUUCCAGCUCAUUUCUGACCCUUUCUGCUCCUUCUACUUUACCUUUGUGCUGCUUUACCUUCCAGCUCCUUGCUGACCCUUCCUGUUCAUUUCUAUAUAUCUAUAGGCUGCUGCCCCACCCAAAUCUAUGGGCUGCUGCCCCCCUCUCCAAAUCUAUGGGCUGCUGCCCCCAAAUCUAUGGGCUGCUGCCCCCCCCCAAAUCUAAAGGCUGCUGCCCCCAAUCUAAAGGCUGCUGCCCCCAAAUCUAUGGGCUGCUGCCCCCUCCCCACAUCUAUGGGCUGCUGCCCCCAAGUCUAUCUGCUGCUGCCCCCCUCUCAAACCCUCCCCCCCAUCCCCCACUUACCUGAUCUGUAGGCUGUCUCUGGCUGCAUGUGUUGCUCCCCUGUUUCAAUCAGCAGAGAGAAACAGGGAUAAGAUGCAGCUUCCUAACCCUGUCUCUCUCCAUACACAGCGCCACCUACUGGCCGGCGCCGGUAUUGCAGUUCAUUUUAAAUCUCACACAAAAUAGCAGAACACGCUGAAAAAUCCAGGGAGGGGCAAGUGCCCCCCCUUACCCCCCCCUGCGGACGCCCAUGGCUGGGGGUGAGGAAGGUAUGAGAAACAUGGAGGUGCUAAGGGGAGAGGGAAUGUGACACAUGAAGGGGCUGGAUGAGGAGGAGCCUAUGGGACACAUGGAGGGGCUGAGGGUGGAGAGGGAAUGGGGCACCGGGGCCCAGUGGAUUCUAGUUACACCUCUGACUUCACUAUAAGCAGUGUCAUUAGCAUGUGAUUAACAACAGUUGCAGUUUGGCUAAUGUCAAUUCUGUACAAAUUCUUUACACGAAGGGUCAUUCAUUGCCAAGUUGACACUCUCAGCCAAUGAAUGACCAACAGAGAGCUGUGUAUAUUCUGUGCAUAGAGUGUCUUUCAUUGGCUGAAAAUGUCAAGCUAAUGCUUUUGGCCAAUGAAUGACCAGGAAUAUGAGCAUUCCAGAAGGCUCAGCGCCCAGUGGACUCACAUGUAAGAGAGCAAACCAUUCCAAACCAAUAUACCCUAUUACCAUGGAAUGGGACCAGAGUGCUCCUAGCACCAUAACCACUAAUGCAGGCUGAAGUAGUUAUGAUGCUUGGAGUAAGCCUUUAAUGGAUGCAUCUCAAGAAGCCUAGGACCUAACUAUGCCUGCGGACCCAGAUUGUAAUCAGUCUUUUGGUUCUUUAUAGCACCUCUCCUCUUUAUGACAAAUUCUCCUUUUUCUACCACUAGGUUAAUAGAUAAAAUCGAUGAUAUCAUAGAAAGCAGUGCCGAAAAUGCUUAGUUAGCAGCAUGUCUAUGAGAAACAGUACCAACACUGCCAACUCCUGUGCAUUAGGACUUGCUGCGCUGUCUACAGAUACAUUGCAACAUUCAAGAUUAUUUUUACAAAUUAAAUCUAAAUAGAAAAAGGGAGAAAAAUGGCUGACCUCCAAUUCAGUUAGUCACAGCUAGGCUAUUUUAGCCUCAGUUUUGCCAUUUGGAUUUAAUUUGCGAAAUUUCAGAGUUUAGUGAAUAAGCCUGAAAAUGUGUCUGUAAUUACAUAAAUCAUAAAUCAAAAUUGCAAUUAAAUAAAAACAAUUAAAUAAAACAUAGUUGGUCAAAGAGUACCUUUCAAAACUGACUUAAAAGACCACUAUGGGCACUCAUAUUACUUCAUCUCUAUAUAGUGGUCUGGGUCCUUUUAGCCCUGCAAUGUAAAAUAUUGGGGUUUUGUAGAUAUGCCAAUCUUUAAUUGCAAGGCUAACUGCCUUACUGACAGCAUUAGAAGGUGCUUCCGUUGCUAUAACUCGGUCAGACUCGGUUAUGUGAUGUUCUUCAUCCUCACACAUUGCAUGAAUGACCUCAAAUGCUUAUCAUUGGGAAGUAUUGAAUUCAAUGCUCCCCUAUGAAGCCCAUUUUAAUGACUGAGGUCUGUGGAGGAUCCUGUGAUACCAUGGGAUCCUUCACAGAUAAUGAGUGCUUCCUUGUAGCGGUCACUAGUUAUGACUGGGGAGAAUGACAAAACUUGACUGCAGUAGUUCUGCCUUUUGUCAAGUUUUGUCAAGUGCAGGAAAUAUAUUAAGACAAAGUAGUCCCUACUUUCUCUCAGUAUAUUGUGUGACUGUGUUGGAAUUUCAGUGAAAUUUCAACACAAUGUGAGUAUUUCACAUGAUUUAGAGUACAGCUAUUAUAUCUCUGCAGCCAUGAUGGUGACUGCUGGGAGAUUGACAUUUCAAGAUGGCGGUAGCUCCACCCAGUGUCAAGAAGUGUCAGGCAUGGGAAAUAUAAUGACACAAACUAGUCCCUACUUUAACUCAGUAUAUAUUUUAACUGAAAUUUCCCGAAAUUCCAGCACAGUCAGUGUGAGUAUUUCUUAAAGAUUUUAUAUUUGUGAAAUGCUCAGUUUGUGGUGGUGUGUGUGGGGGGAGGAGAGGGUGGUUAACAGUGCCACUCUAACUGUUCUUUCAGAAGAUAAAACAUAUCAUUAUUAUUUCUAGAUUUUAAAGCCCCAGUUUUACCAAAAUUUGUUUUACUGCUCAUUGUUUUUAUAAGCAGGAAACCAAUCUGUAUUCAGUAAUGGCUGACAAAUGUGGCAGGCUUUGUUGUGUUUCCCAGUAUGUUUUGUUUUGAUAUUCUGGGUCAAACUAUCUUGAAGUCUCGUUAAAUCCUUGGGAUAUUGUGAUAUUCUCCAUUUUAACAGUAGGAAUAAUAUCACUUGCUACAUAUGUAUCAGGGGAUCUCUCAGAACAAUAACAGUGCAUUCAUUUCCUGGCACUGCCAUCUGCUGUGUGUUUGUAUCUAACAAAACAAAUGUCUCCCAUACCCUCAGUGAACUGAUUUCCAUUCUUAUGUUGUGUAACUGUGUCGAUGCCAGGCUAAUAAUGGCAUUGUAAUGAUAGUCUUGGAAUCAAACCCUUGGGAUUCUCUAGUACCUAUUUAGUAUUUUUAAUAUAGUGUAAACACAACAAUAGUUAAUCUAUUUUUACCAUGGAUAAUAUUGUAGCUCAAUGUGCAGUUUUGCAACAAGGUGUUCUUUUUAUAUUUGGGGUAUUGCAGAUAUUGUAUCAGAAGGCAUUAAGAAGGACAAUGCUUGUUAAUUCUUGCAAACAAUUAUAGUCUGUCCGAGAAGGUUUUCAAUGCAUGAUGUCAAAUCUUAGUCUAAACACGUAAACAUAGUCAAUAUAAACCAGAUUAAUUUCUCCAGCAGGACAUUCUAAUCCAGACAUUGACAAAGCCUGGAAAAGAUACGUAACUAGAAGUAGGUCACUACGAUUCCUAGGUUAUUGAGUUCUACAUGUUCACUAGGUCCGUAUUAAUCUAGACUAAGAGGGAGACAAAUGGCUUGGAGGUAUAAAAAGACUGGUGGCAGGGAGAUUGCAUAAUUUGUAGAAACUGGAGCAUGGGGGAACAUCAUCAAUAAAAUGAAAUACAUAUUUUGUAAUUGUGAGUUUUCCAUAGAUGCAUUGAUUAAAAUAUUGCUAAAACAAUAUCAUCUCACUAAAGGGGAUGGAUCCAUGUCUUGAAGAAGGACAAUACUAAACUAUAAAUAGUUAUAAACUGUUACAAAGUCUCAAGUAACCUAGACACAUUGACUGAAUGAUGUCAGGAAGUUCCACACAAGCAUACCAACACACAAACACAAACAAACUAUAUACUGGAAUUUGCGCCAUAUGUCUGUUCAACCGUAAUUCACCACUGUCACAUUAAGUGCACCCACACUUAUUAUAUAUCAUUUUGUUCAGGAGAAACAGGGCUUUAAAUUAUCAUUAACUAUUCAUAUAUGGAACAUAAUUUAUUAUGAAUAAAAUUUAAUAAAAUGUGAUAAAAUAAGAUUAUUUUUUUUUUAAAUUUGCAUUAACAUCUGACAUUUUAGCUGUAAAUGUCAUAAUACUGUUAGGUUUUACUGCAAAAACAUGCACAUAUUUGUAAUCAGCAAUGUCUCACAAGUACAACAGUACCCCCCAUUAACAGGUUUUAUGGUGUUUUUGAAAGUUACAGGGUGAAAUAUAGAACGUUCCAUUUUCAAAUUGAAAUUUGCCAGAUUAGUAAUGUUACCUUUGAGACGGUGUGGUAGCCCAGGAAUGAGAAUUACCCUCAUAAUGGCAUACCAUUUGAAAAAGUCGACAACCCAAGAUAUUGAAAGUGGGGUAUGUUUAGUCUUUUUUAGUAGCCACUUAGUCACAAACACUGGCCAAAGUUAGCGUUCAUAUUUGUUUUUGUGUGAAAAAAGCAAAAAACUAAUAUUUGGCCAGUGUUUGUGACUAAGUGGCUACUAAGAAAGACUGGACAUACCCCACUUGCAAUACCUUGGGUUGUCUACUUUUGCAAAUGGUAUGCCAUCAUGGGGGUAAUUCUCAUUCCUGGGCUACCAUACGCUCUCAAAGGCAACAUAACCAAUCUGGCAAAUUUCAAUGUCAAAAAAAUGAAAUGCAAGCCUUAUAUGUGACUCUCUAACUUUCCAAAACACCAUAAAACCUGUACAUGGGGGGUACUGUUAUUCUCGGGAGACUUCACUAAACACAAAUAUUAGUGUUUUAAAACAGUAAAACAUAUUACAACAAUAAUAUAGUCCAUAAAAGUGCAGUUCGUUUGUAAAAAAUGCAAAAAACUUCACUUUUACUUAAAAUAUCAUCAUUGUAAUACAAUUUACCAGUUUGAAACACUAAUAUUUGAGUUCAGCGAAGUCUCCUGAGUAAAACAAUACCCCCUAUGUACAGGUUUUAUGGUGUCUUGGAGAGUUACAGGGUCAAAUAUAGUGCUUGCGAAUUAAAUUCUCUGCACUUUCUCCCUGUGUUGUCAGGCAUGUCAAUCAAAUUUGUAUUAAUCAAAUCACAUAAUUAUGUUAAAAGAUUACUUAAAUAUACAUGUAGAAUUUUAAUAUAUAUGCAUUUAUAGGUAUUUAAAUUCUAUGUGUAUACCAAUGUCAUCUUUUAUGUAAUUAUAUGUAUUUAUCUAUAUAUAUAUUUGCGGUUAUUUGUAUUUGAUAUAUAGAUAGAUAUAUAUAGAAUGUCAUUCUAAGUGUAUUUUGUUACCAAUAUAUAUAUAUAUUAAUAACAAAAUACAGUUAGAAUGAAAUUACAUAUGAAUAUAUAAUUUAUAUUAAAUUUUGUUUCAAUAUUUUAUUUAUUUAUUUUAUUAUUUUAUUUAUUUAUUAUUGUAAUUAUAUGUAUAUAUAUAAUAUAUGUGUAUAUAUCUAUUAUAUGUUACGUCAUUCUAAGUAUAUUUUAAUAAUAAUAUAUGUACUUAUAUUAAUAUUAAAAUACACUUUGUAUGACGUUACAUAUAUAUAAUAUGUAUAUAUAUUAUAUGUAUAAUAUAUAUACAUAUAUUAUAUAUAUAUAUACAUACAUUUCUAUUUUAUUUUAUAACGUUUUAUUAUUUAUUUAUUUUUUAGUUUCCCACCAGCAGGGGGAUUGUCUGACAUUUUAGACAGUUCCCCUGCUGGCAGAUCCACAGCCAGCUAUAGGGGGCCAUGUGAUCGCUCUUUGAAAGCGAUCACAUGGCCCCCGGGGGACUCAUUUGCCGGGGGAGGGCUGCCUGGGCUGUCAGGCAGCCCUCCAGAAGAGGAUCGCGGCGGAGGUAAGUGCACCGGACCUCCAGGGGCUCAAAGCCGUUACGGCGCUCUAUGCCGCCGCAGCGGCUUUAAAGCCCUUUUAAUGCGGGACGGCAUUGAACACCGUAACGGCGUUAAGGGGUUAAAAAUGGGUCAUUCUGAGAGCUUAGUCAAUUCAAGCGUGAUACUGUGAUGUAAUGACACUUGUGCAAUAAGUCAGUUUGUGAAAUUUCAGCUCUGCUAGAUAUUUGACUGUCAUGAAUAUGAAGUGCUACGCUCCUUUUAUCUACUACCCUACCCUUAUGCACUAGACUGCAUAAACCAUUAACCACUACACUAACACUGUCACUAAACGUUAACCUUAUUCUGCACUAAAUGUAACAUAUAAGAUAUCGUCUAAUAUAGAACAUGUAUUAUGAGAUAAUAGUGCCAUCUCAGGGUCCUGGAGAACUAUGGUCUUGUGGUUUAUUAUGAUGUCUCGGAGUGAAAAUUCUUUUCCCAUAAUGCACAUUUUCACUUUUAUGCUUAUUCUGUUUCACUCCCAUAGUACAUAGUACAUGGUUUAACGUAUUUAUACCUUAAACCAGCAAACGUAAUGUAGUGUAAAACCACAGUAUAAAGAUGGGCAGAGGAUCAAGCAGCCUGGACGCACAUGUUGUAUGUUCCUUUGUCAUGUGGAUUUUCCAAGGUUAAGGGGAGAUGUGCAAUUGGAUAUUAGUGCAUACAUGUACAUCAUUAUCCACACCAGUUAUGCCAAGGAAAGCGACUUGAGCUAGGGAUUAGCUGAGAGACUGCAGACACUUCUUAGAUGAUUGUUUUAUGUAUUACCCCUAUUAUUUGUGUGCAGGGGCUAUUUACUAGAGUGUGAAUUUAUGUUAAUUCAAACUUAAUUUAAAAUUUUAGGUUCAUACCAACAGAUUUGUGGUGGGGAAAAAAGUGUGGAUGAAAACUUCUUCCACCUGAAGUAAGUGGAAAGUUAAUACAUUGCUAAACACAAAUACACACACCAAGCAUGCCAUAAGACUUGUUUUUCCCACAUAAAUCUCACUUUAACAGUGCUCUCACUACUGCAAGGGGUUCUGGAUAGGCAUAUGCAAAUGAGUUUAACAAAGAAUUCCACUUUAUACAUGGAUUGCUUAGAGUAUGUGUCUGCUGUAUACAACAACUUUGAAACACAACUCAGGAAGAGGAGCAAAGCCAAUGAACCACUCAUAGACAGCUGUUUUGUUAAUGCAACUCAUCAGCAUGAGGUUGGUUACUGGCUUGCUAUGGAGGCUUGGCGUUACUUGUAAAGUACAUACCAACAAAGUUGUGGUGGGGAAAAAAGUGUGGAUGAAAACCCCUUCCACCUGAAUUAAGUGGAUAGUUAAUACAUUGCUAAACUCAAAUACACACACCAGGCAAACCAUUAGACUUGCUUUUCCCACAGAAAUCUCACCUUAACAGUGCUCUCACUACGGCAAGGGAUUCUGGGUAGGCAUAUGCAAAUGAGCUUAACAAAGAACCACAUUUAAAUUUUAGGUCAAAAUAGCUAAACUGAAAACAGCAGACUUUUGUUUUGAACGGACAACAAUUGACACUUGAGUGUGUUGAAUCCAACCGAGAUUGUCCUUUCAUAUGUCUCUUUAACAUUGUAAAUGGUGAUAAACUCUGCAUUCAGGGGAAGCGUAGUAUAUACUGCCAAGUGGAAUCUACGCUGAGUGGUUAAACUCUACACAGUAUAAAUGGUCAUGUCAGUACUGAAAAGACAGACAGUUGAUAUUUUUGAGGUGAUGGGAGAAGAGAAGUACCCUCCUUAUCAUGGUCCUUAGGGAUUCCUUGUCACUUGGAUACUUAAGCUGAGAGCUGUUCCACUUAUCUGCACUGCUACAUGGGAUGAUGCACAGAUCUCAGGCAGUUAGAAGAUGCAAGUAAAUCACAGGAAAAAAAACCAUCUUAUUGAAAGCUGUCCCUUGUUGUGGCUGUGUUCUGCUCUCUUACACUGUAAUGUACAAUAUCACUCCAGGCACAGUGAAGAGAGGGGCAAGUUUAACUCUUUAUUGUCAGGAAAAUGUUUUGUGGUUUUUUUUUCCAGCACUGGACUGGGUGAACAUGGAUAGUACUAUUGGCACAGAACUACAUCUCCCAUGUUCUACAAUCUGCAGAUUUAUGUAACAUUGAUUUAUUUUAAAUUCUCUAGUAUCUCCUAUCGUGUCCACUUUGAACCACUCCAAAGAUGGACCAGGGUGAAAUUAGCAGAUGUAGGCGAUGGGUAUUCACAGAUGAGCUAUCACUUUCAAUCAGCUCAGAGCCAGAGGUGCCUGGGCAUGAUAGGAGUUAGAGACUCAGAACAGCUAAAAAUUGUCAUCCCAACACAGGUAUUAUGGAUUAGUGAAUACACUCACCUAUAUACAUUUUAUUGGUCAUGUUUUAAACACAUAAAAUAGUUCAUUCACUAAAGAAUGAAUUAUGAUGAGCUGAAAGUUAAAUUGACAAAAUCUAUCUGAAUAAUUUUAUAGAAGGAUAUUUAACAGAGAGAGCACACUAUAAGUAAAGCAGAAAACAACUCAAACCAAAAUAAUGAAGAGACAGGGUGCUCACUAUAUGCCUCUGUUCUCAUUGGAGUCUGUAAAUACAACCCAUAGAGAAUGAAUAAGGAGCACACCCCAUGAAAAGUAACACAAUUUGUAUUAGAUUAAUCUAUAUCCAUACAUGAAUGUACAUCUGGAUAAAUAAAAAAGAGUGAUACACUAUACAUAAAUUAAAAUCAUAACAUAUAUACAAUGAAAACAAAAUAAAUCCAAAGAAAGAAGCACAAAACCAAUAAAAAUUAAUCAUGAAAAAAAAUAUGACAAUAUAGGUGUCUGGAUUCAUACCAAAUGAAAGACCAGAUAACACAAGAAAACAGUGUGAGAGGCGAGGGAUAACAGAGGGGGAAAAAAUAAAAGACUGCAAUCCCAAUGUUGUGGCAAAACUGCCCUUUUCAAGGGAGCAUGAAUAAUUUAGAAAAUCAAAGGUUUCCAGCAGGUGUGUUGACUUAAAUGUGACAGUUUUGGUUUUCAGGUCAUCUCAAUUCACUGUUUAGAGAAUAAACGUCUUUCUAAACAGAUCUUGUGAUCAACCAGCUGUUUUGAAGUAUAUAGAACAUAGUGCAUUUGUUACGAGAGCAUGCUCGAAUCAGGCAUCCGUGCCCUAUGUACCACAUGUUGAGUGCUGCUUUACUCAGACUAAUUGUCGCCACAAUUUUUUACUAGAAGUGCAUGGAUUCAUUCAUAUUCCAAAAGGAAAACUGAAAGGCAGCUUCAAGGCAGGAUCUGUGAGCUGAAUAGGAAAAUGAAACAGAGAUAUGUUUGUCAAGCUGCAUUAGUUUGUCAUUUCCUUUGCUGUCUGUCUGUCUAUCUGUCUGUCCGUCUGUCCGUCCGUCUCUGUCUGUGUUCUUUCUGCCUCUUCUCAAUAUCAAGUCCCACGUACGUGUAUUCCAUAGUACUUUUACUUUUAUGUCUUCGCUUUCUUAGUUUAAUGGCAAGAAUCAGAUUGCACCAUCCGGUGCUUAAAAUCAGGUGCUGCCUCCUCCAUUCUGUAUUCAAAUAUAAAAUACCUGGCCCAUAAAAGUCAGUAUGCAGACUUUGUCAGCAAAUCUUGACAGGGGAUGAGUUUGAAACAUAUCGUGUCUGUUGGUGUUACAUUUUCUAUAUUGACCUUUUAUGUGCCAUGCACAUUUACAGUUAUCUCUAAAAUGUUCUUUUUCAAAGUGUCCAUUUGAUGCAUCACAACUCUAUUCUUGAAAUAACCUGUUCUCCCUGAUCCCAGUCAUCAUUGGUUAAAGGUGCCCAUGCUCUUCUUUAGGAAUUAGAAAAAACCUCCUGCAUUGUUGUAGAUUUGUGUUUCUCUUUCUGUGCAUGGUCCCAUAUCCCAGGGAGCAAUUUUUUUAAAAAGAAAUUAUCUCCUCUAAGGAAUUCUCCUUUGUGCUUGGUGUCUAGUAGGGACAUUAUUUCUGUUGUUUUUUUUGUUGCAACAUCGGCAGUAAGUAAACCCCUACUUCCGGAAUGCCAUACAGAGCAGGAAUAGCCAUAACUUUAGAUGGCUUACUACAUCACAGCGGUUAGACUGGAACAUACAUUUGUUUGGACCCAUCCACCAUCCCUAUGUGAAGAAUGAAGGGCAAGGGAACCAAACAGAUGUCUUACCUAGGGCCCUGUGGGAUCGUAAUCCUUCUCUGGAGCCAAAUCCCAACCUAAAAUGAUGAAUCAGAGGUAAGGGCUCUAAAAGAAGCCCAUUAUUGCCUGCCCAAAGCAACCAGGACUAUAUAGGUCUGGUUGUAACUAACAGAAGGAAGAAGAAAAGGUACAUCUGUUCAAUCUUUAACCCCUUAAGGACACAUGACAUGUGUGACAUGUCAUGAUUCCCUUUUAUUCCAGAAGUUUGGUCCUUAAGGGGUUAAGCGGCCAAGUGGAGGGGGAGAUGGUCAUAUCCUUUGCAUGAUUGAGGCAUCGGCAGCUACAGAGGGUGAUAUAGUUUUGGUUUAAAAAGUGUUAAUACAAUAUUUGAUCUUUGUUAAAAAUAUAACCAGCUACUAAUUAGCUAUUAAACUAUGUAUCUGAUGAUAAACUGUACAGCUAGUGAGACUUGUACGUAAAAAGUGUCCCUCUUAAAGGUAUACUCUAAGCAUCUAUACAACUUAAUGAAGCAGUUUUGAUCUAUAGAUCAUGCCCUUGCAGUCUACCUGCCAUGUAGGAAUUAAAUCAGUUUUGUUUCUGUUUAUGCUGUCCCAGCCAUACCUCACUGGUUAAGACUCGCACAACUUCUGCGAACAAAUUUUUUUUUAAUCAUGUGAUUUUUCUCUAGCAGGCUGUUAACAGAGCAGGGGAUUUCUAAAUAAUCACACUGUCCAUUAAAUUAAAUUUAGAAAUGAAAUCUCUCUUUACAAGAACUGUGUAAUUCACAGUCAGGGGAACAGUGGCCAUGGCUGCAUAAACAGAGGAAGUUAAAUAAAGCCAACUACUACAGUCUAAGCACCAAAACACCUUUAGCUUAAUUAAGUGGUUUUGGUGUAUAGAUCAUGGACUUGAAGUCUCACUGCUAAAUCACCUGCCAUUUAGAAGUUAAAUCUCUUUGUUUAUGCAACAUUGUUUUGGUGCUUAGACUGUCCUUGUAGAAAACAAACCACUGGUGUUCCAGUAGUUAAACUCCAAGAAAACAUGUCUUAUUUGCGCAGGGGUUAAAAAUAAAUAAAGAGAAAUCCAAGAUCGAGACUGAGUAAAGUGCCUUACAAGAACAAAUGCAAGUUUUGGACCAAUACUUUGGUCUAUAUGUUUCCUUAUGAAAACGUUAUCAAAAUGUAUCCCUUUUCAUUUUCUAGUUUUGUAGACUAGUCUUAUAAGCUACUAGCCACUGGAACCCUGGAGGGUUCAUUGUACAAGGAAUUUCUGCUCGACGGGGGUAGUGGCCAGUAAAACAUUUUCAGCCUUGCGUUAGUGUACCCCUUUAAGCCAUCUGAAAUGACUGCCUUUAAACAAUAUCUCUGCUGUCUAUUAUUCUCUCUAUAGAUCUUCAUAAUUCAUCAAUCCAUAAAGCAAUUCAAAGACUAAGACCCACACACCAUAUGCCUUUAACUUCUAUUCACUUUAGCAUUGAACCUAAAGUCAUUGAACAACUGAUCUGUGCAUGUUACAUGCACUUUGAGUCAUCCAGACAUUAUGUGCAUGAAAUUGUUUAUUUACUGUUGAAUUCCCUUGUCACCUGGCUAUGCAAUAUUUUUUUUAUUGAUACGAACAACCAAUCUUUAUAAUUGAAUGUUCCAAGAUGCAUGUACUCAUGCCAAACUAUCCUGACUCACUGGAUUAAUUCAUUAAACCUGCAAUGUCAGAGAGCUGGAGUAGCAUCAACAAGUGUCUGAUUCAUAUGUUAGAGCCUGGCCUAACAUAGCCAAUUUUCACAAUUUUCUUCUACUUCAUGCCCUUGCUAUUGUAUACUCACCCCCUACCCCUCCCAUUUUAUCAUAUAUCCAUUUAUAUUUCACUAAUUCCCAAGGAAUAUUAGAUGCACAAUGCUGAGACAAUCUUCAGCGCAUUGUCUAGUUUAGAAUUAAGUGUCAACAUUUCAUACAUACAAAUAAAAACAUAAGACUUAAGACAUAUUUGGUAUUUUUGUUUUACAUUGUGUGUUCAUAAAACAAAUGCAAUUGAAAAGCACAGAAGCAAGAUAUACAGUUAUCUGGGAUAUUUAAUAUCGAUUAAAUUAUGUUUCAGGUGCAUCCUGUUGACAGUCCCAUUUAGUCUUUGUCAAAAGAUGGCACAGGUGACAUCCCAUAAUAUGAUUUGGCAGAUAAAAAGCACACAACAAUGAACAUGGCAGCACGCAGCGAGGAGCCAUGAUGUCCAGAACCAAAACGAUAUUGCUUGAACAUAUCAGUGAAAUUUUAUAAGCAAGGACAGCCUGCAACAACUCUGC